AGCCACGCAGCGAGCACAAAGCGAACUAUUCUUUCGCCUUUUACUAAAGAAUACCGUGUGUUCGCUGCAUUCAGUGGCAUACGUUUAUUUUUGGAGGGGGUUCCUUUAAAAGGGGCUU
rnacentral:snRNA from 1 species